AGCCCGGUAAUCGAAGCAAGUUGAAGCUUAGUGGUAUCCUGAGUAACGCGGAACACGAGAAAUUCUGCGCGAAUCCGCCGGGACCAUCCGGUAAGGCUAAAUACUCCCGUGAGACCGAUAGCGAACUAGUACCGUGAGGGAAAGGUGAAAAGAACCCCGAGCAGGGGAGUGAAAGAGAUCCUGAACCCUUGCGCCUACAAGCGGUCGGAGCUGCUUAAUGCAGUGACGGCGUGCCUUUUGCAUAAUGAACCUACGAGUUACCAUCACAGGCAAGGUUAAGUCCCAUGAGGGACGCAACCGCAGUGAAAGCGAGGCUGAAUAGGCCGUCGAGUCUGUGGGGGUAGACGCGAAACCAAGUGAUCUACACUUGUCCAGGUUGAAGUCCCGGUAACACGGGAUGGAGGACCGAACCAAUAAGCGUUGAAAAGCUUCUGGAUGAGAUGAGUGUAGGAGUGAAAGGCCAAUCAAACUUGGAGAUAGCUCGUACUCCCCGAAAGGCAUUUAGGUGCCGCGUCGGAUGUUCAGCGUGAGAGGUAGAGCGACCGAUAGGACAAGAGGGCUUCACCGCCUAUCGAGUCCUGACGAACUCCGAAUGCUCACGCUCCGCAGUCCGGCAGUAAGGGGACGGGUGCUAAGGUCCGUUCCCGAGAGGAGAAGAAUCCAGACCGCCGUCUAAGGUCCCGGAAUUCUGUCUAAGUUAGUCUAACGAAGUGGGGUCUCAGUGACAGCCAGGAUGUUGGCUUGGAAGCAGCCAUUCAUUCAAAGAGUGCGUAACAGCUCACUGGUCGAGAGUCCCUGCAUGGAUAAUAAUCGGGUAUAAGACAGAUACCGAAGGCGCGGGAUAGCAGAGAAAUGAAAAGUAUCGGUAGGGGAGCAUUCCAUAUCCGUCGAAUGGUGCGGGUAACUGAUCCUGGAGGAUAUGGAAAAGCAAAUGUAGGUAUAAGUAACGAUAAGGAGGGUAAGAUUCCCUCCCGCCGCAAGACUAAGGUUUCCCGGGCAAUGUCAAUCAUCCCGGGGUCAGUCGGGUCCUAAGUCUCAGCCGAACGGCGAGGGCGAUGGCAGACACGGUCAACAUUCCGUGACUACCUUUAGGAGCGAUGCGGAGACGGAGCAGUGACACUUCCGCGAACCGACGGAAUGGUUCGUUGAAGAGUGUAGACGUUGAUCACGGUAGGCAAAUCCGCCGUGAGAGUCGAACUUGAAAGUACAGGGUCCUCUUCGGAGGAACCUGAUAGCGAAGGUAAUCAUACUCCCGAGAAAAUCCGCUAAGCAAUCCUAAAGGUACCCGUACCGCAAACGGACACACGUAGUCGGGUAGAACAUACUAAGGCGUUGAGAGAUUCAUGGUUAAGGAACUAGGCAAACUGACCCCGUAACUUCGGGAUAAGGGGUCCUCGUGAUGAGCGAGGCGCAGAGAAUAGGUCCAGGCAACUGUUUAACAAAAACACAGGGCUGUGCGAACUCGAAAGAUGAAGUAUACAGCCUGACACCUGCCCGGUGCCGGAAGGUUAAGAGGAGAUGUCAACCUUUGUGGCGAAGCAUUGAAUUGAAGCCCCGGUAAACGGCGGCCGUAACUAUAACGGUCCUAAGGUAGCGAAAUUCCUUGUCGGGUAAGUUCCGACCUGCACGAAUGGUGUAAUGAUCCGGACGCUGUCUCAACCAUGAGCUCAGUGAAAUUGUAGUAUCGGUGAAGAUGCCGAUUACCCGCGAUGGGACGAAAAGACCCCGUGAACCUUUACUACAGCUUAGCAUUGACCUUGGUCAUCCGAUGUGUAGGAUAGGCCGGAGGCUUUGAAGCGGCGUCGCCAGGCGUCGUGGAGCCAUCCUUGAAAUACGGCCCUUUGGCUGUCUGAGGUCUAACUCGCUAAUGCGAGGACACUGUUUGGUGGGUAGUUUGACUGGGGUGGUCGCCUCCAAAAGCGUAACGGAGGCUUCCAAAGGUGCCCUCGGGCCGAUUGGUAACCGGCCUUAUAGAGUGCAAUGGCAUAAGGGCGCUUGACUGGGAGGCAGACAUGCCGAGCAGGCAGGAAACUGGGGCAUAGUGAUCCGGCGGAUGUGUAUGGAAACUCCGUCGCUCAAAGGAUAAAAGGUACUCCGGGGAUAACAGGCUGAUCCCCCCCAAGAGCUCAUAUCGACGGGGUGGUUUGGCACCUCGAUGUCGGCUCGUCACAUCCUGGGGCUGGAGAAGGUCCCAAG
rnacentral:rRNA from 1 species